UACGUAGGGUGCGAGCGUUGUCCGGAAUUAUUGGGCGUAAAGAGCUUGUAGGCGGUUUGUCGCGUCUGCUGUGAAAUCUCAAGGCUCAACCUUGAGCUUGCAGUGGGUACGGGCAGACUAGAGUGUGGUAGGGGAGACUGGAAUUCCUGGUGUAGCGGUGAAAUGCGCAGAUAUCAGGAGGAACACCGGUGGCGAAGGCGGGUCUCUGGACAGUUCCUGACGCUGAGGCACGAAGGCCAGGGGAGCAAACGGG
rnacentral:rRNA from 1 species